GACGAACGCUGGCGGCGUGCUUAACACAUGCAAGUCGAACGGAAAGGCCCUGCUUUUGUGGGGUGCUCGAGUGGCGAACGGGUGAGUAACACGUGAGUAACCUGCCCUUGACUUUGGGAUAACUUCAGGAAACUGGGGCUAAUAUCGGAUAGGAGCUCCUGCUGCAUGGUGGGGGUUGGAAAGUUUCGGCGGGUGGGGAUGGACUCGCGGCUUAUCAGCUUGUUGGUGGGGUAGUGGCUUACCAAGGCUUUGACGGGUAGCCGGCCUGAGAGGGUGAACGGCCACAUUGGGACUGAGAGACGGCCCAGACUCCUACGGGAGGCAGCAGGGGGGAAUAUUGCACAAUGGGCGGAAGCCUGAUGCAGCAACGCCGCGUGCGGGAUGACGGCCUUCGGGUUGUAAACCGCUUUCGCCUGUGACGAAGCGUGAGUGACGGUAAUGGGUAAAGAAGCACCGGCUAACUACGUG
rnacentral:rRNA from 1 species